AGAGUGAACGCUGGCGGUAGGCCUAACACAUGCAAGUCGAACGGCAGCACGGUAAGAGCUUGCUCUUAUGGGUGGCGAGUGGCGGACGGGUGAGGAAUACAUCGGAAUCUACCUUUUGGUGGGGGAUAACGUAGGGAAACUUACGCUAAUACCGCAUACGCCCUUCGGGGGAAAGCCGGGGACCAGCAAUGGCCUGGUGCUGAUAGAUGAGCCGAUGUCGGAUUAGCUAGUUGGUGAGGUAAUGGCUCACCAAGGCGACGAUCCGUAGCUGGUCUGAGAGGAUGAUCAGCCACACUGGAACUGAGACACGGUCCAGACUCCUACGGGAGGCAGCAGUGGGGAAUAUUGGACAAGUGGGCGCAAGCCUGAUCCAGCCAUACCGCGUGGUGAAGAAGGCCUUCGGUUGUAAAGCCCGUUUGUUAGGAAAGAAAGCGAAGUUCGGUUAAUACCCGGUGUUCUGUACGGUACCCAAAGAAUAAGCAACCGCUAACUUCGCGCCAGCAGCCGCGUAAC
rnacentral:rRNA from 1 species